rnacentral:lncRNA from 1 species
GGGGUAGGGUUGUGUUACCUGUGUUGACUGAGCCUGUGUGUCUUCAGCUGGGCCUCAGUUAAUGGCAGGGUAAUGGCGUUUCAUCUGAGAGGCUGCCUCUGAUGGAACGGACGUUGCCUGUGCUUGCUGGUUCCUGUUGUUUAAGUUGGAUGCGUGCUGACGCGAUGGAGCAGCAGUCUGGGUAAAUGCUAAGGGGACCAUAUUUGUUCGUGACAUCGGAAGUGAGGCCUCAACUUGUUAUAUUUAUUUCUCUGGCUGCCCCCAUCUUAUGACUGAACCGUGGCAAGUGAACUCUUUUCUAGGCUGCAGUCCAUUUGUCAGAAACAAUUUCCAUAGUUUUGAAUUUUCUUUUUGGGGAGUAGUUGUGCAGCACAAAUGAAAGCUUCCCCCUCCCGUGGCACUUGCAAUUCACUCUAAAUGUCUGUGGUUUGCUCUAAGCCAGGCAUCAGUGCCUCUUCUUGGAGGUAUAAGUUCACGUAGGGUCUGGCAGAAGUUGUAGACAGGAUGUUGACUUGUGUGUCUUUGACUGACUGACUAGGAGGCCCAGGAGAGGUGCUACAUGGCUCCAGGCAAUCUCAACUUUUUAGCCAAGGCCUCUAAAAUGUAAGGUCUUAAAGUGCUUGCUUAAGAUUUCUGGGGCUGAUUUACCCACAAGGAUCUUUUAAAAUUACACUUGUUUUCUCCCAGAGAGAACAUGGGCAAAGGCUGUCCGGUGAUCUCCCUGCUAACUCCUGACUUGGUCCCCUUUUUGCUUCUCAGAUUUAGUAGUUCUCAUAAGCUAUGAAAUGCUCUCCACCAGGGUCUUCCACCAUUGCUAGUCUUAUUCUCUGAUGAUGCAGCAGGGCCUUAGACAGAAAUGACCUACGGCAACCUGUGAGUCCCGGUCCCGUGAGGGCUCCUUGUGUUAUGACAGUUCUGAGUCACUUUACUUAUUUUAACAUUUGCUGGCAACCAUAUACAAGACACAAGAGUCCCUCAGUAAUAGGCAAGUCAUGAGAAUGUCUCCUAUAGCCCAGUGGCUUUUGGAGGAUAGCUCACAUCCAUGGUUACUGACAUCAUUGUAGACUCUUGGAUGGUGACCAAGUAUAGGCUUUUACUCCUGCAACUGAGGAAGUCGAAGCCCUCGCUGGUGGACCACAGUUUUGUGUACUUGAAAUGUGAAGUCCUUCCUUAGGAAGGUAGAAGUGGUUUAGAGAACUCAGUUCUUAUUGAGACCCUGACAGGAAUCUGAACAAACUGAUUACUGUCAGCUUUUUUUAUUUUUCUGAUACUGAUUUUGGACAGUGUGGUGUUGGAAACUCAGACCAAUGAUUAUGAACAAUUAAUUGUAUUGUGACAAGACAAAAGGACCCACCAGGAAUAUCAGUGUCUAUUUUAGAAUUAGAUUCUAGCGGAAAGCUUGUAAAACAUAAGGGGAAAUAUGAAAAAUUAUGCAUCUCCUGCUUCCUGGACAAUAUGAGCAUUUUAAAAAUCAGGGUUACGUCAUAUGAAGCUGUCUCUGCCUUUUGAAAAUCCAAAUGAGCCUGGGUCAAAAUAUUUUUUGGCAGAGGAAUAUACAUUGUUUUGAAACAAUAGGCUGGGAGAACUUCGAGUGCCUCUGGAGUGACUCCUGUAGCUCCGAGGUGAGGCAGGACUCAUGGUUGACUGGUCGCUUUCUUUGGAUGUCUCAGUUGCUAUAAGCAAGCAUCUGUAUAGCAGAUGCUAUGCUGCAAGUGAAUGCUGGAGAGCACUGGAUAGUUGGUAGAGGGUUUUAUUUAUUUAUUUUUAUUUCAUUAUUGAACCAUGAUCUAGAAGAAAUCCAAGUUUGUAUUCUUCUGAAGAGAGACGAUGUUGUCAUCUGCCAGUGUAUAUGUCCCUCCCCAACGUGAGCUUGUGCUUAUGCACGCAAAGUGUCCUCGAGAUAUUUGUAACUGUGGUCUGACAACAUGAGACCAAGCUGCAUUUGUUUAUGCUACUGUU